rnacentral:rRNA from 1 species
UCAUUACCGAGUUUACAACUCCCAAACCCAUGUGAACAUACCUACUGUUGCUUCGGCGGGAUUGCCCCGGGCGCCUCGUGUGCCCCGGAUCAGGCGCCCGCCUAGGAAACUUAACUCUUGUUUUAUUUUGGAAUCUUCUGAGUAGUUUUUACAAAUAAAUAAAAACUUUCAACAACGGAUCUCUUGGUUCUGGCAUCGAUGAAGAACGCAGCGAAAUGCGAUAAGUAAUGUGAAUUGCAGAAUUCAGUGAAUCAUCGAAUCUUUGAACGCACAUUGCGCCCGCCAGUAUUCUGGCGGGCAUGCCUGUCUGAGCGUCAUUUCAACCCUCAUGCCCCUAGGGCGUGGUGUUGGGGAUCGGCCAAAGCCCGCGAGGGACGGCCGGCCCCUAAAUCUAGUGGCGGACCCGUCGUGGCCUCCUCUGCGAAGUAGUGAUAUUCCGCAUCGGAGAGCGACGAGCCCCUGCCGUUAAACCCCCAACUUUCCAAGGUUGACCUCAGAUCAGGUAGGAAUACCCGCUGAACUUAAGCAUAUCAAUAAGCGGAGGA